GGCGUCUAUUGUGUGCACUGAGUGGUGGGUGAGUCUUGGAUGUAGAAAAUUUCACUUUGAAGUGGUGCUGUGUAAUGCUGUGUAUUGCAGUGGGAUUGCGGUUGUCUUGUCUGACGUACCCCCGCCUCCAGUCACUCGCUCUUGAGACGACGAAGAGGAAGAAAUGGUCCUAGAGUAAGACCUGUACAUGAUUAUGCUAGCCUGAGGCGGAGGAGAUCCGCCGGCCCGAGGUCUCGACCAAAGGGCGCCCCGGUCCAGUUUUCGAUCGACCAACGGGUCUCGAGGAAAGGGCAGCGCUCGACCCGGUGAGCCGGCGUGACGAUUCUCGCCCCCCCUAUAGACCAACGAGCUCGCCGAGAGGGUUUUGGCCCCCGGCGCCACCUAGGAAAACCACCGUCCAGUUGACGCACCGCACAGCCAGCCACCGUAAGUCCGCCCCCCGGUUAAGUGAAAUAUAACCUGUUUAACUGCUUAAUCGACAGGAAAGAGGAGUGUGUCGAGAAGAUCUGUGGAGAGAAAGAGACAGUGUGAAUGUCGAGAUAACAAACUGUGGAGAGAGCCAUACCUACCCAAAGCUGUAGUCAGCAACGAGGUGAGAGAAAUCAUUGGAACCCGAUUCACUGUGCCCUUGUGUCCUAGCAGUCAUCUGUGGAGAGAGAGAGAGACAGCGUGAAUGUCGAGAUAACAAACUGUGGAGAGAGCCAUACCUACCCAAAGCUGUAGUCAGCAACGAGGUGAGAGAAAUCAUUGGAACCUGAUUCACUGUGCCCUUGUGUCCUAGCAGUCACCUGUGGAGAGAGAGAGACAGUGUGAAUGUCGAGAUAACAAACUGUGGAGAGAACCA